CCGAGGAGAGGAAGACGUGCGCAGGCAGCUCGACCAGGCAGAGUCCCCAUCAGACGGCGGGUCAAGGACCAUUGAGACCCAACCCCCCUGUUCCCGAUCUCCAGUUAACAUCACAACUGACACACAAAGACCUUUGGAACGUGUCUCCCAGGUGCAUGGUUCUGGAGUUCUUUUGUGCAUGCCGCGGUACUGGUUACCGCCAUAGAGUGCUGCCAUAUGGGGUGCCGUUUGUAAAGCCGCUCACACUGAAAAUAAAAGCAACAUUUUGUCACAUUUAGCUUCAAACAAUAUCUAACAACAAAAAACUGG